AGAGUUUGAUCAUGGCUCAGAACGAACGCUGGCGGCGUGCCUAAUACAUGCAAGUCGAACGAGAAAGUGGCUUCGGUCAUGAGUAAAGUGGCAGACGGGUGAGUAAUACAUAGGUAACCUACCUCCGAGAUGGGGAUAACCUUCCGAAAGGAGGGCUAAUACCGAAUGAGACCACAGUUGCACAUGCAACAGGGGUUGAAGGUGGCCUCUACUUGUAAGCUAUCGCUUGGAGAUGGGCUUAUGCACCAUCAGCUAGUUGGCGAGGUAACGGCUCACCAAGGCUUUGACGGUUAGCUGAUCUGAGAGGUUGAUCAGCCACACUGGAACUGAGACACGGUCCAGACUCCUACGGGAGGCAGCAGUAGGGAAUAUUGCGCAAUGGAGGAAACUCUGACGCAGCGACGCCGCGUGGGUGACGAAGGCUUUCGGGUCGUAAAGCCCUGUCGGAAGGGAAGAAAAACGGUAUGGCUAACAUCCAUGCCGCUUGACGGUACCUUUAAAGGAAGCACCGGCUAACUACGUGCCAGCAGCCGCGGUAAUACGUAGGGUGCGAGCGUUGUUCGGAAUCAUUGGGCGUAAAGCGCGUGUAGGCGGUUAGUUAAGUCGAUUGUGAAAUCCCUGGGCUCAACCGAGGAAGUGCAGUCGAAACUAACUAGCUAGAGGACGGCAGAGGAAGGUGGAAUUCCAAGUGUAGAGGUGAAAUUCGUAGAUAUUUGGAGGAAUACCUGUGGCGAAGGCGGCCUUCUGGACCGGUCCUGACGCUGAGACGCGAAAGCGUGGGGAGCAAACAGGAUUAGAUACCCUAGUAGUCC
rnacentral:rRNA from 1 species